rnacentral:rRNA from 1 species
GAUUAACGCUGGCGGCGUGCAUAACACAUGCAAGUCGAACGAUGAAACUUAAAUGACUUCUUCGGAAUGAUUUUAAUUGGAUUAGUGGCGAACGGGUGAGUAACGCGUGAGUAACCUGCCUUACACAAGGGGAUAGCCUCUGGAAACGGAGAAUAAUACCCUAUGAAACUAUCUUAUCGCAUGAAAAGAUAGUCAAAGUGUUUAGCGGUGUAAGAUGGACUUGCGUCUGAUUAGCUAGUUGGUGAGAUAACAGCCCACCAAGGCAACGAUCAGUAGCCGGCGUGAGAGAGUGUACGGCCACAUUGGGACUGAGACACGGCCCAGACUCCUACGGGAGGCAGCAGUGGGGAAUUUUGCACAAUGGGGGCAACCCUGAUGCAGCGACGCCGCGUGAUUUAGAAGGCCUUCGGGUUGUAAAAAUCUUUUGUAUAGGAAGAAAAUGACAGUACUAUACGAAUAAGGUCCGGCUAAUUACGUG